rnacentral:rRNA from 1 species
GACAGAGGGGGCAAGCGUUAUUCGGAAUUAUUGGGCGUAAAGGGCGCGUAGGCGGCUUUGCAAGUGACGGGUGAAAUCCCUCGGCUUAACCGAGGAACUGCCUGUCAAACUGCAUGGCUUGAGACCAGGAGAGGUGAGUGGAAUUCCCAGUGUAGCGGUGAAAUGCGUAGAUAUUGGGAGGAACACCAGUGGCGAAGGCGGCUCACUGGACUGGUACUGGCGCUGAUGCGCGAAAGCGUGGGGAGCAAACAGG